rnacentral:tRNA from 1 species
GGUCGUGGUGGCCGUCGGCGCGGUCGGCGAUCCGCUCGUCGCGGCGAUCCGGGACCGGAUCGGCCGGAUCGCGGUCGGCCCGGCCA